rfam:Ovis aries breed Texel chromosome 2, whole genome shotgun sequence.
UCCCUGGUGGCUCAGACGGUAAAAUCAUCUGAUUGCAAUGCUGGAGACCCAGGUUCAAUCCCUGGGUCAGGGAA